CCAUUGGAUGAUAUCUUUUUUUUCUAGGCACAAGAAAAUAUUUCCCUCCGGAGUAUGAAUUGCAUGGCAGGUACCAUGCACAGCCAGCGACUGUUUGGUCUCUAGGGAUCGUCCUGUUCGCAUUGAUGUGUGGGGCUUUACCCACUGUCUCCGACCACUCCUUGAUCAGGGACUAUCUUUGGUCUAGCCCUGGCCUGUCAAUAGAAUGCUGCCAGAUGAUCUGCGGUUGUCUACAGCCAAACCCAGAUGAGAGACUCGCUCUGCAGGAGAUGCAUCUCCAUAACUGGUUUAAGGUCAUGGAGUAAGACAGGACAAACAACUCAGCAACCCUAGCACACCUGAGGACUGCUGCAUUGGAUUGCUCUUUGUAUUAUAUUGUUGCCUUGUCAUCUUCUUUAAUAGUGCAGGGCAACUUACAUAUGAGUGCCUUUGUUGAUUAAUUAAUUUGUCAUGAAUGUUUUGAAUGUAUUGUCAUUAUAUUAUUAUUAUACACAUAUGCAAAUGCACUAUAUAUGUCAUGUGUGUUUCUUAUAUA